rnacentral:rRNA from 1 species
GAUCGCAGUCUGCAACCCGACUGCGUGAAGUCGGAAUCGCUAGUAAUCGCGGAUCAGCAUGCCGCGGUGAAUACGUUCCCGGGCCUUGUACACACCGCCCGUCACACCAUGAGAGUCGGGAACACCCGAAGUCCGUAGCCUAACCCGCAAGGGGGGCGCGGCCGAAGGUGGGUUCGAUAAUUGGGGUGAAGUCGUAACAAGGUAAC